rnacentral:rRNA from 1 species
CCACCAUGGCAUGAAUGAAAACAAAAAACGAACGGUGCUGCUAGCUGAAGUCAUCGCCCGGAACAAACCUGAGAGCAACCGAGGAUAGCCUCUUUUUCUUGUAUUCCUCCCGAAGCUUGCAACUCAAAACAGACACCGCUGAGAAACGGAGAGAACGCAGACUGCAGCAUGCAAGGCUCAAGGAAUGCGUACUCAUCCCAAGGCAAGAAAGAUUCAUCCUUCUCGAAUCAUUACCAAUCGGUGGUUCUUUGGUAAUUGCGUUCCAGCACACGUCCUUUUUCCUCAUGAAGAUUCUUGCUGUUGUCCUACUUCGGUUCUUGCAAAGAGCCUCACAUGUGGUGUGAUUUUCUGCUUGAUCAUUGUUUCUGAAUGCUUAGUUGGAGUCUAAAUCCAAAUAAACAUUCUCUGAAGUUGGUACGGUUUGUAUUUUUUGAAGGCAAAAAACUGAAGUUGAUAGAUUUACGCCCUGUAUUCUUUUUCGUGGAAACCUGUUUCAGUGCACAACUUGUUCCCAUACCCUGAAGCAAGCGUGUACCCGCCACCGAGCUCAAAUGGCUACCAGACCCACCUUGGCGAAGAGAACCCUUCCUAUAACUGGGCAGGGCAACCGGCUCCAUCUGAUCGUGGACCUCACUUGUACAGCUACCAAGAUGAUCCUGACUGCCUCACCUUCCUGAGAGGAUGGUAUGAUGCUUUUUCUGGAGCUCAUUUCUCUACAUAGCAUGCAUAGUUGGGACAUGCAGUUUGUUACUCCCUCCGUUCUAAAUUACUCGUCGCAGAAAUGGAUGUAUCUAAAACUAAAAUACAUCUAGAUACAUCCAUACUUAUGACAAGUAAUUCAGAACGGAGGGAGUAGUAUAUAUGGGCUUUGUUAGGCCCUGCUACUGGCUGUGCUACUGCUAACCGGUACCCCGUGAUGGCUACAUGCUUGGUUGGGCUGUCCUGCUGCUGCUUGUUGGAGCAGUGUUGCUACUACUGACUGCUACUACGAUUACCUGCUGAGACGUGUGUCUAGCCUUCUCCCCUUGGGUGAUUCCCGGGUACUCAAGUUGAACAACUUUGCUUGUGCCUGACUAUGGUCUCAUCUGUACUCCUGUGUAACUCUAG